rnacentral:rRNA from 1 species
UACAGAGGUCUCAAGCGUUGUUCGGAUUCAUUGGGCGUAAAGGGUGUGUAGGUGGUCAUGUUAGUCGUCUGUUAAAACCCGGGGCUCAACUCCGGAUCGGCGGACGAUACGGCACGACUCGGGGGUGGCAGAGGUGUGUGGAACUCAUGGAGUAGGGGUGAAAUCCGUUGAUAUCAUGGGGAACACCAAAAGCGAAGGCAGCACACUGGGCCACUCCUGACACUGAAACACGAAAGCGUGGGUAGCGAAUGGG